rnacentral:rRNA from 1 species
UACGUAGGUGGCAAGCGUUGUCCGGAUUUAUUGGGUUUACAGGGUGCGUAGGCGGCUUUGUAAGUCAGUGGUGAAAUAUGUCAGCUUAACUGAGAGGGUGCCAUUGAUACUGCAGAGCUUGAGUACAGAUGAGGUAGGCGGAAUUGACGGUGUAGAGGUGAAAUGCGUAGAUAUCGUCAAGAACACCUAUAGCGAAGGCAGCUUACUGGGCUGUAACUGACGCUGAGGCGCGAAAGUGUGGGGAUCAAACAGG